rnacentral:rRNA from 1 species
UACGGAGGGGGCAAGCGUUGUUCGGAAUCAUUGGGCGUAAAGGGCGCGUAGGCGGCCGGCCAAGUCGGGUGUGAAAUCCCUCGGCUCAACCGAGGAACUGCACUCGAUACUGGCUGGCUCGAGUCCGGGAGGGGAUGGUGGAAUUCCCAGUGUAGCGGUGAAAUGCGUAGAUAUUGGGAAGAACACCGGUGGCGAAGGCGGCCAUCUGGACCGGAACUGACGCUGAGGCGCGAAAGCGUGGGUAGCAAACAGG